UGCAUACUUCUCCAAAGUGAUAAUAUGAAGACUCUCUUCUUUGCAUAAAAAGCAUUAGGCAUAUAAAUGUAUAAAUAUAUUUUAUCAUGUACAGUACAAAAAUGGAACCUUAUGCAUGGGCCUUAGGAAUACAGGCUAGUAUUUCAGCACAGACUUCCCUGCUUGAGUUCUUGCUGAUGCUUGCACCGUGACAGUGGGCACCAACACAGACGUGCCACCCAACCCCCUGCACACACCACCGGCCACCAGGGGCCCCCUUGUGCGCCUUGGCUUUAUAACUCCUCUGGGGGUGAUAUUGGUGGUGAUCACAGCUCCUAGCAUAAUGAGAGUUCCAUUUGGUAUUGUCACACGUCUCCUGCCUCGCUUGGGUUGCCAUGUUUGAGCGAUGGCCCUGUUGAUUUCACCCUGCCUUUUACUGAAUCUGUAAAUUGUUGUGCAAUUGUGGUUAUAGUAGACCUGUAGCACAUUGCCUUUUCUAAACUGCUACAUGUUUAUAAUCUUCAUUUUUAAAGUAUGUAUAAUUUUUUUAAGUAUGUAUUCUAUUCAUAUGGUCUGCUUGUCAGUGAGCCAGACUUGCUUACUAUAUUCCUUUAUAAUAAUGCUAGCCACUUCCUGGAUUCUUUAGUAUUGUGCUGUAUGCAAGAACUUUCCAGUAGCAGUGAAAGAGGGUUGCCUCUCCAAGCUUCCUAAGGGAUGCUGCCCUGGGUGGGGAUGCAUUGCAGAGGCAGUAGUAGCAUGGGGGCUGCAGUGGGGAGUGAGAUGGAAAAGGGUGGGGGGAUAGGAGAAUUCCAGAGUGCUUCCAGCAUGAGGGUCCUGAGAACUUCUGUCCUGAGUUCAGAGAAACAUGCAAAGUAACUAACAAAAUAGCUACUUGCCUUUGCAGUUUUACAGACCCUGGGAGCCGCUUUGGGAGUGAGAAAGGCAACCCUCCAAUGUGUUUCAGCUUUAAAAUGUUGAAUUCUUUUCAGACAUGUGGUAUCUCAUUUAUUCUCCUUUUCUAGCGUUUGUUGAAUUUCAGGCAGAAUGUCUUACAGAAUGUCCUAGAACCAGAUUAUCAUUUAAUCUGAAACAGCUGAGGAAGGGACAGAGCAGGUACAAGGGCAAGGCAGCACAAAGCAGAUCAGGAGAAUGAAGAGGGAAUGCUUUGGUUUUUUGUUUUGUUUUGUUUUUUCUUUUUCAAGUAACUAAAACAGCAUCUACAUGUAGAGUGUUGUGGAGAGCUGAGACCAGGGUAAAGUCGUCAAGUGCAGCAUCAGUACUGUGAGACCUGCCAGCCCCUGGAGAGGGUCAGCCGAGAAUCUGGUAGUGAAGCCUGUCUAGGGUCCCGGCACCCUCACCCUCAGCCACCUGCAGAGAGACCAGGGCCCCAGAGACUAGCCCAGUUCUGAAGUGGGCAGGGGUGCUGCCAGAGCCCUCUGCCCCUUAUAUUGAGACCCUGCUUUCAGGACAGGCCAACCGUUGGCCACCAUGUCACAUUCUGAGUGAGUGUCACAGGUCCCUAACAAUAAUUUUCUGAUCUGGAGCAUAUCAGCAGAAUGCUUAGCCUCAAGGGGCCUGGCAGCUGUAAUGUUUGAUUUAUGAUGAGAACUAUCCGAGGCCACCCUUGGCCUCCAAAUGAGCUGCUCUAGGGAGCCGCCUACUUUUUGAUGAGAAAUUAGAAGAGUACCUAAUGUUGAAAACAUGACAUGCGCUCUUGGGAUCUGCUGUUCUCUCCAGGGCUCCAGAACCUGAUACCUGUUACCAAAGCUAGGAAAGAGCUUUAUCACAAGCCUUCACUGUCCUUGCAUGAGAACUGGCUGCCAGGCUCAGUGUCCCCAUUAACUGUGAAUGAAUCUGA
rnacentral:sRNA from 1 species